rnacentral:rRNA from 1 species
UACGUAGGGUGCGAGCGUUUAAUCGGAAUUACUGGGCGUAAAGCGUGCGCAGGCGGUUUUGUAAGCCAGAUGUGAAAUCCCCCGGGCUUAACCUGGGAAUGGCAUUUGGGACUGCAAGGCUUGAGUGCGGCAGAGGGAGACUGGAAUUCCUGGUGUAGCAGUGAAAUGCGUAGAUAUCAGGAGGAAUACCGAUGGCGAAGGCGGUUCUCUGGGCCUGUACUGACGCUGAGGAGCGAAAGCGUGGGGAGCAAACAGG